UACAGAGGGGGCAAGCGUUGUUCGGAAUUACUGGGCGUAAAGGGCGCGUAGGCGGACUUCUAAGUCGAACGUGAAAUCCCCGGGCUCAACCCGGGAACUGCGUCCGAUACUGGAAGGCUUGAAUCCGGGAGAGGGAUGCGGAAUUCCAGGUGUAGCGGUGAAAUGCGUAGAUAUCGAGAGGAACACCUGCGGCGAAGGCGGGUUGCUGGGCUGACACUGACGCUGAUGCGCGAAAGCCAGGGGAGCGAACGGG
rnacentral:rRNA from 1 species